GACGAACGCUGGCGGCGUGCUUAACACAUGCAAGUCGAACGGAAAGUCUCUGUUUUUGUGGGGUUCUCGAGUGGCGAACGGGGGAGUAACACGAGAGUAACCUGCCCUUGACUUUGGGAUAACUUCAGGAAACUGGGGCUAAUACCGGAUAGGAGCUCCUGCUGCAUGGUGGUGGUUGGAAAGUUGCGGCGGUUUGGGAUGGACUCGAGGGUUAUCAGCUUGUUGGUGGGGUAGUGGCUUACCAAGGCGUUGACGGGUAGCCGGCCUGAGAGGGUGACCGGCCACAUUGGGACUGAGAUACGGACCAGAAUCGUACGGGAGGCAGCAGUGGAGAAUAUUGCACAAUGGGCGGAAGCGUGAUGCAGCAACGCCGCGUGCGGGAUGCCGGGCUUCGGGUUGUAAAACGCUUUCGCCUGUGACGAAGCGUGAGUGACGGUAAUGAGUCAAGAAGCACCGGCUAACUACGUG
rnacentral:rRNA from 1 species